rnacentral:snRNA from 1 species
GAAUGUAUGUGUGACCUGGAUGUGACAUCUGUCACCCCAUUGAUUGCCAAGGUUGAUUCAGCUGGCUAGACAAAUGUCCCAUUCCUCCCUCAAUGUUCCAUGUGCAUCAUUCCCGAAGCUAUGUGCUUCAUUGAAGAGGACAACCACCCAAUAGAGGAGGACCAUUCCUCAGUCAAGGGUAUAUGAGUAGCUGCGCUUUCCUGAUAGAACCUCCAAACAAGCUCUAAAGAAAUUUAGAGAAGAUUUAAAGCCAAGUCUUCUCAAACUCUUCAAUGAAAUUGAAAGGGAAGCAAUUCUCCCAAACUUA